rnacentral:lncRNA from 1 species
CCAUCACAGCACUGAUUUAUCCUUUUUUGAUCUAAUCCUCUGUAAUCUGGAUACAGAUUCCCCUCCAGGCGUUCACCAACAGCAAGGAUCAACAAGAAGCUGAAGCAUCCUGACAGAGGAAGCAUCCACUCCUUGGCACUGCAGUGGGUGUCCCUUCCCUGGUGCUCAGCCCAGGCAGGAUCCUCAGGAGCUGCCCUGGCUCCAAGCAGCACCUUUGUUGUGAGGAGGAAACCUUGCAAAGCUGAAAUGAAAUAUUAAGCCUCAUUCUUUCCAGGAAAAAAGCUGAAAUACCUUGUUGGAAGGAGAAGCUGGGCAAGGGAAA